rnacentral:rRNA from 1 species
UUACGGGAGGCAGCAGUGAGGAAUAUUGGGCAAUGGACGCAAGUCUGACCCAGCAACGCCGCGUGGAGGAUGAAGGCCGUAAGGUUGUAAACUCCUUUUGAAGGGGACGAAAAACCAAAUUUCGUAAGGUAUUUGGAUUGACUGUACCCUUAGAAGAAGCCCCGGCUAACUACGUGCCAGCAGCCGCGGUAAUACGUAGGGGGCAAGCGUUGUCCGGAUUUACUGGGUGUAAAGGGCGCGUAGGCGGGUUUGUGAGUCAGUGGUGAAAUCCUGCAGCUUAACUGCAGAACUGCCAUUGAUACUGCAAAUCUUGAGUUCAGAAGAGAGUAGCGGAAUUCCAGGUGUAGUGGUGAAAUACGUAGAUAUCUGGAAGAACACCAGUGGCGAAGGCGGCUACUUGGUCUGUAACUGACGCUGAGGCGCGAAAGCGUGGGGAUCAAACAGGAUUAGAUACCCCGGUAGC